rnacentral:lncRNA from 1 species
UUAGAAACUGUCAUGCACAAUGCCAUCGAAUUGUUAUAUUGAUAUGAUUGCUAGUGGUAUAUUUGAAGUCUGUUACACAUUACACAAACCUCACAAAGCCUCAAAUAUCUGAUACAUGUACUUGAUGUAUUUUGAAGAGUCCAUGUCUCGUACACGCUUACUUGCACCAGAAUUCUAACAUCCAAACGAAAGGGAAAACAACGAAAUAAUGUCUCAGUUUCGGUCCUCAAACGUACAGGGAAAGCACAUGUUACACGAAAACUGAAAAACACGAGAAUUACUAAUUAUGUUGGAUCUUCAUAUAUGUCAAACAAACACCAUGUCCAAAAACAUAGUAGUAUAGCACCGUGUCAUACAUAACACAAUGUUAUAGUUAAAGAACAAAUACAUUGCUUCAUUAGUUUUUUUUUAUCAAUUUUUGACAAUUGUAUAGGCACUCAUAGUAUUACCAUAAUGCCAAAAAAAUGUAUUAAUGAUGAUGAAAAUGAUUUAUCGGAUGCUAGUACUUAACAAAUCAUGCAAAGCCUCAAUCCAUAUAAUAGAAUGCAAUAAAUGGAGAAGCCAUAAAUAUAAACACCGUGAGAUAUAGUCCACAAAAUGAAGUCAUAGCCCCUCCCAUUGAAUGCAAAGUCCCAUAAUCUGAAGGUCUUCAUAUAACUCCUUUGCACUUUCAACAGUAUUUAAAAUUGUAGGGCGCAAAAUUUUGUUGUGCUAAGCAGAAUAAAAUACAUGAUACACCUAAAAUAAUGCAAGAAGCAUGACAACAAAAAUUGAACUCUGCCAAGAACUGCAUACACCAAAUUCAUUAUCACAUUACCAUUGAACCAUAGGUACCAGGAUUAUCACAUUUAAGCUUCUUCCAGUUUAGGUCUUCAGUCCAGUUAUAUUUAUUGAAUGUUCAAUAUAUUCACACAAACAAAAAUUAGCACUUAAAUGCUCUUUUUAACAGUCGUUGCAAUCUUAUAAAUAUUUGCGACAGGAAUCUGGAUAAUAGUGAGAUAUAAGAAUUUAGACAUACUUAAUAGUUGAUUUCAACAUUGCAUAAACUAUCAACCAAAUAAGUAAUUAUCUUUCCACAACUCUUUUAUAGGAAAUAGUAUUGCCCGAGAUAAAAAAAUCUCGCACUUAGCUAAAAAUUCAUAUGUUUGUCAGAUUGAAAACUAACAUAACAUAAAGGAAUUUAGCUCCUAUAUUAAAUAAAAAUGAAAAGAAUUAGAGUAAAACACAUACGAAAUGGACUUACAUAGAAUUUUAAAUACUGUCAUCCAAAAAGUGAAAGACAAACCUAUUAUACUCUUAUUUAAAAGUUUUUCAAUGGUUAUACAUGAUUAUAUAUACACAGAAAAAAAUGAAUAUACAUAAACUCUACUCAGUACAUGUAUUAAUAAAAUUUCGAGUUGAAGGUAUAAUAAAAACUAAAUAAUUUUGUAGGGGGUAGUGUUGAGAGUUUACCGGUUUAUUGUUGUCUUUGUAACUGGAAUUUGGCUCGAUUGAGAUAGCUUUUUAAAUACAGAUCAUAGAUUUAC